UUCACUUCAACACAUAGUCAAGAAACUCUAAUUCAUAUGAUCAUAGGGAGGCUUUCUUCAUAUCUAACUUAGACAAGACACCCUCCAUAUUUUUGUGAAGCAGUUCAUCCACAAUUUCAUUUGCAAUGAACACCGCAUCUAGAUUCUGCCUGUACUCCAUAAAAACAUGCUGACACUCACCCACCACUCUCCCCAUCACCUUAGUCAUUCUCCUUGCCACAACACUUUAGCAAUAAGUUUAUACACACUCCUUAGCUGAUAGAUUCGAAACCCUUGAUACUUAUUGCUCCUCCACCUUAGGAAUAAUUAUAAAAAAUGUAGAGUUAAAAUAUUUAAUGGACCCUGACUCAUGAA
rnacentral:lncRNA from 1 species